rnacentral:other from 1 species
AUAUCCCUGCGGUGCGCGUUGGAAACUUGAUAAUAUUUGAACCAACAUGAAUAUCAAGGGAGCCCGCCAUUCCUUUAGCGUUCGCGCUAAGAGAUAGGGCACCCACCUGAAACCAAAUGGUUCAGAUGUCAGUCCAACGGCACAGGCGGGGAUUUU